rnacentral:rRNA from 1 species
GACGAACGCUGGCGGCGUGCUUAACACAUGCAAGUCGAACGGAAAGGCCCUGCUUUUGUUGGGUUCUCGAGUGGCGAACGGGUGAGUAACACGUGAGUAACCUGCCCUUGACUUUGGGAUAACUUCAGGAAACUGGGGCUAAUACCGGAUAGGAGCUCCUGCUGCAUGGUGGGGGUUGGAAAGUUUCGGCGGUUGGGGAUGGACUCGCGGCUUAUCAGCUUGUUGGUGGGGUAGUGGCUUACCAAGGCUUUGACGGGUAGCCGGCCUGAGAGGGUGACCGGCCACAUUGGGACUGAGAUACGGCCCAGACUGCUACGGGAGGCAGCAGUGGGGAAUAUUGCGCAAUGGGCCGAAGUCUGAUGCAAAGACCCCGGGUGCGGGAAGACGGGCUUUGGGGUAUAAACCGAUUUCGCCGUUGACGAGGCGGGAGUGACGGUAACGGGUAAAAAAGCCACGGCUAACUACGUG